UUCGAUCCCGAGGACGGCCUCGAGACAUGUCUUUAAAGUGUAGACUUCUUUCUAACUUGAUCGGUAUGUCAGUCUGACCACUUCGGUGCCGAGUUCUAGGCGGGGUGCCUUUUACUUGCCUUCGGCCAUGAUCAUGCUCUUUGUCAGCAGCAAAGACCAACCAUCUUCGGGCUUCGCCGUGGGCUCUCGAACGAGAACCCCCUGAUUUGUGCUAUAACUUCCGAUGUAGAACAACUGGAAAUAUUGUGAUUGAUAACUCAAGAACACUAGAAAACAGCCCUCCUUCUAGCGCCAAUGUUAAUGCCAAGAUCUG
rnacentral:lncRNA from 1 species